CCUACGGGAGGCAGCAGUAGGGAAUAUUGCUCAAUGGGGGAAACCCUGAAGCAGCAACGCCGCGUGGAGGAUGAAGGUUCUCGGAUUGUAAACUCCCUUUGUUAGAGAAGAUAAUGACGGUAUCUAACGAAUAAGCACCGGCUAACUCCGUGCCAGCAGCCGCGGUAAUACGGAGGGUGCAAGCGUUACUCGGAAUCACUGGGCGUAAAGAGCGCGUAGGCGGGAUAGCAAGUCAGAUGUGAAAUCCUAUGGCUUAACCAUAGAACUGCAUUUGAAACUGUUAUUCUUGAGUAUGGGAGAGGUAGGUGGAAUUCUUGGUGUAGGGGUAAAAUCCGUAGAGAUCAAGAGGAAUACUCAUUGCGAAGGCGACCUGCUAGAACAUAACUGACGCUGAUGCGCGAAAGCGUGGGGAGCAAACAGGAUUAGAUACCCUUGUAGUC
rnacentral:rRNA from 1 species